UGUCGCCGAUAUAAAACCCUCGACUCCUCCCUCUCUCCCUCCCUCUCUCUCUCUCUCUCUCUCUCUCUCUCUCUCUCCCAUUUCAAUUCGAGCGUUGCGACGCACCGCUCCCUCCCUCGUCCUCGACGCUUCUCGAUCCUUCUCGCGCUCUCCCGAUCCCCCUGUUGCGGUUGCGCGAUCCGGAGGCGAGCUAGGGUUUCGGCGCCGGGCCACGCUCGCCCCGAGAUCUCCUUCACCGAGGUGGUAAUUUGUUGUCCGAUCGAGUUUCCCGCUCCGUUUUCGCGUUAAUGGCGUCGAAAACCCUCCUUGAUUUGAUCCCUUAUGCGUUUAUUGCGGCUCGGAUUUUGGUUCCUAGCUCAAUGAGUAUGUUGCGUUGGGAUUUUGUAGUCGUGGUUGGGGAAUUUUGGUUGAGAGUAGUGGCUAUGUUAGAAAUGUGAUGUUUUGUGCUGAGUGAGGAUGAUAAGGUGUAUCACAGCGCGCGGUUUAGGAAAGCCCUGGAAUUUUUUGGGAUGAGAAUGUUUUUGACCCAGAUUUAGAUCUAGCUCGUAAUUUGGACAUCCUAAUUACUUGU
rnacentral:lncRNA from 1 species